rnacentral:rRNA from 1 species
GACGAGGGAUCCUAGCGUUGUUCGGAAUCAUUGGGCGUAAAGCGGGUGUAGGCGGUCUUAUAAGUCAGGUGUGAAAGCCCAGGGCUCAACCCUGGAAGUGCACUUGAUACUGUAAGACUUGAGUGUGGUAGAGGCUACUGGAAUUCCUGGUGUAGUGGUAAAAUACGUAGAUAUCAGGAGGAAUACCGGAGGCGAAGGCGAGUAGCUGGGCCAACACUGACGCUGAGAUCCGAAAGCGUGGGGAUCAAACAGG